AAACUGUUCCGAACAAUCGCGCGGCAACAUACCGAAAGGUCUUGCCGUGAGGAAAGUCCGGGCUCCGCAGAGCAGGAUAACGGAUAACGUCCGCCGAAGGCGACUUCAGGGCCAGUGCAACAGAAAUAAACCGCCGCGUUUUUUCGCGGUAAGGAUGGAA
rnacentral:RNase_P_RNA from 1 species